rnacentral:rRNA from 1 species
GGGGGAUAACAGUUAGAAAUGACUGCUAAUACCGCAUAAGCGCACAGGAACGCAUGUUCCGGUGUGAAAAACUCCGGUGGUAUAAGAUGGGCCCGCGUCUGAUUAGGUAGUUGGUGGGGCAGCGGCCUACCAAGCCGACGAUCAGUAGCCGACCUGAGAGGGUGACCGGCCACAUUGGGACUGAGACACGGCCCAAACUCCUACGGGAGGCAGCAGUGGGGAAUAUUGCACAAUGGGGGAAACCCUGAUGCAGCGACGCCGCGUGAGUGAAGAAGUACUUCGGUAUGUAAAGCUCUAUCAGCAGGGAAGAAGCAGACGGUACCUGACUAAGAAGCCCCGGCUAACUACGUGCCAGCAGCCGCGGUAAUACGUAGGGGGCAAGCGUUAUCCGGAUUUACUGGGUGUAAAGGGAGCGUAGACGGCUAAGCAAGUCUGAAGUGAAAGCCCGGGGCUUAACCCCGGGACUGCUUUGGAAACUGUUAAGCUAGAGUGCUGGAGAGGUAAGUGGAAUUCCUAGUGUAGCGGUGAAAUGCGUAGAUAUUAGGAGGAACACCAGUGGCGAAGGCGGCUUACUGGACAGUAACUGACGUUGAGGCUCGAAAGCGUGGGGAGCAAACAGGAUUAGAUACCCUGGUAGUCCACGCCGUAAAC